AGUAAAGAGUACGACCGGGUUAAGUGGAUUUUUCUUGAACGUAUCAUGCUUAAGAUGGCUUUGCCAAGGCCUGGGUCCUGUUAAUUAAAAUUUGUAUGAGCACUGUUACCUACCCUUUCAACCUUAACGGGGAGCGGUUAGGUCAUAUUACCCCCAGUAGAGGUCUACGGUAAGGAGAUCUUUUGUCCCCUUACUUAUUUCUGUUAUGUGUUGAGGGCCUGUCUUGUCUUUUUCAUGGGGCCGAAAAGCGAAAAUCGAUCUCCGAUUUGUCCAUUGCUAAACACAGUCCACUGAUUUCUCAUCUCUUCUUUGUCGAUGACAGUCUAAUCUUCUUCAAAGCGGUGCCUGUCGAAGGGGCAACAGUAUGUUCAAUUCUCCAUUGGUAUGAGCGAGCUUAUGGGAAACUAUAAAUUUUGAAAAGUCCGUUAUUUCUUUUAGCCUGAAUACUGGGAGCGAGGUUAUUCAUGAUAUUACCCAUUUUUUUGGCGUUCCACAGACCCGUCGUCAUUAACAGUAUUUGGGGCUUCCAUCUUUCAUGCCACAAAACCAACGGAAUACAUUGGGUUUUAUUAAAGAUCGCGUAUGGCGGCGGCUCCAAGGGUGGCAAGGUAAACUUUUUUUCCAUUAGGGGGCAUGAAAAACCUUUUUCCAUUAGGGGGCGUGAAAUCCUUAUUAAGACUGUGAUUCAAGCUAAGCUAUUCCCUGUUAUACUAUGAAUUGUUUUCGUCUGUCGAAAGCUUUGAUUCAUGAACUGCACCAAAUGAUAGCUCGGUUCUGGUGGAAGGGUCUGGAUGAGGCACGUCGAAUUCAUUGGGUGAGCUGGGUUGAAGGCUUCUGCAGGAUCGUCUUCUCUUCUGGCCUGUGUGUUGAAGGGGCGAUGUUUCCAGACUAGUUCGUUUAUGGACACGAACAUUGGUUGGACCCCUCCUUUAUCUGGCGUAGUAUACUAUGCGGUCGGGAUCUUCUUCGCCGAGGCCUUCGUUGGCGGGUGGGCAAUUGGUGAAUCGAUUAAGGUGUACGGGACUAAUUGGCUUCCUCGGGAUGUGUUGCUUCAGGUUCGCUCACCUUGGCAUCUUCCAGUUUCAAGCCAUGUUUGCGAUCUUUUCACAGCCUUGGGCCCAUUGAAAUGAUCCUUUAGUUCGAGAGAGGUUUGAUACUAUUAAGGCAUCCAUUAUUUUAGGCCUUUCCCAGGACGGUCGUUCUCGACCAGGUCAUCAAAUUUGGUACUUUGAUAAAUCAAGUGUGUUUUCCGUUAAAA